rnacentral:tRNA from 1 species
GCGAGGAUGGCGGAACUGGCAGACGCGCCAGAUUUAGGAUCUGGUGGGCAAACCCCAUGGGGGUUCGACUCCCCCUCCUCGCA